rnacentral:rRNA from 1 species
UACGUAGGUGGCGAGCGUUGUCCGGAUUUACUGGGCGUAAAGGGAGCGUAGGCGGACUUUUAAGUGAGAUGUGAAAUACCCGGGCUCAACUUGGGUGCUGCAUUUCAAACUGGAAGUCUAGAGUGCAGGAGAGGAGAAUGGAAUUCCUAGUGUAGCGGUGAAAUGCGUAGAGAUUAGGAAGAACACCAGUGGCGAAGGCGGCUUUCUGGACUGUAACUGACGCUGAGGCACGAAAGCGUGGGGAGCAAACAGGAUUAGAUACCCCCGUAGU